rnacentral:rRNA from 1 species
GUGGGGAAUAUUGGGCAAUGGGCGAAAGCCUGACCCAGCAACGCCGCGUGAAGGAAGAAGGUCUUCGGAUCGUAAACUUCUAUCCUUGGUGAAGAUAAUGACGGUAGCCGAGAAGGAAGCCCCGGCUAACUACGUGCCAGCAGCCGCGGUAAUACGUAGGGGGCAAGCGUUGUCCGGAAUGAUUGGGCGUAAAGGGCGCGUAGGCGGCCUGGUAAGUCUGAAGUGAAAGUCCUGCUUUUAAGGUGGGAAUUGCUUUGGAUACUGGCGGGCUUGAGUGCAGGAGAGGUAAGUGGAAUUCCCGGUGUAGCGGUGAAAUGCGUAGAGAUCGGGAGGAACACCAGUGGCGAAGGCGACUUACUGGACUGUAACUGACGCUGAGGCGCGAAAGUGUGGGGAGCAAACAGGAUUAGAAACCCCUGUAGUCC